AUAUGAAGGCGGGCUGGAACCUCUCGGGGUUACAGCCUUGCUGAAUUAUUCACCCUUGUCUUUUGCGUACUUCUUGUUUCCUUGGUGGGUUCGCCCACCACUAGGACAAACAUAAACCUUUUGUAAUUGCAAUCAGCGUCAGUAACAAAUUAAUAAUUACAACUUUCAACAACGGAUCUCUUGGUUCUGGCAUCGAUGAAGAACGCAGCGAAAUGCGAUAAGUAGUGUGAAUUGCAGAAUUCAGUGAAUCAUCGAAUCUUUGAACGCACAUUGCGCCCUUUGGUAUUCCAAAGGGCAUGCCUGUUCGAGCGUCAUUUGUACCCUCAAGCUUUGCUUGGUGUUGGGCGUCUUGUCUCUAGCUUUGCUGGAGACUCGCCUUAAAGUAAUUGGCAGCCGGCCUACUGGUUUCGGAGCGCAGCACAAGUCGCACUCUCUAUCAGCAAAGGUCUAGCAUCCAUUAAGCCUUUUUUUCAACUUUUGACCUCGGAUCACGUAGGGAUACCCGCUGAACUUAAGCAUAUCAA
rnacentral:rRNA from 1 species